UCGGAGAAGCGGGUAGCUGA
rnacentral:misc_RNA from 1 species